rnacentral:rRNA from 1 species
AUUCCAGCUCCAAUAGCGUAUAUUAAAGUUGUUGCAGUUAAAAAGCUCGUAUUUGAAUUUUUGUCUGUUGGGGCCUUGUUCUGUCCUUAGUGGCGGAGUUUAGUGUCCCGUCGGACUUCCUGGGGGCCAACUAGUUGGUGUUUCAUUACACUGAUUAGGGAACCCCCUCGUUUACUGUGAAAAAAUUAGAGUGUUUCAAGCAGGCGUUUCGCAUUGAAUACAUUAGCAUGGAAUAAUAAGAUAGGACUUUGGUGCUAUUUUGUUGGUUUGCACACCAAGGUAAUGAUUAAGAGGGACAGUUGGGGGUAUUCGUAUUAUCAUGUCAGAGGUGAAAUUCUUGGAUUUUGGUAAGACGAACUACUGCGAAAGCAUUUACCAAGGAUGUUUUCAUCG